UCCAUUCGCUGUAUUCAUAAUGGGCAACCUAAGCAGAUGGGUCUAAAGGAGUUGCUGCAGGUGACUACCUAAGUUUAGUCUCUUUAGUAUAAAUGCCCACCCACUGACCCACUUGCUCACUCAUGCGUAUAUGCUAUUUUAAUAUAUUUGUAGGUAAGCUAUUUCAAGAAAAUGUUUUUCUUGCUGGAAUUUGUUUUCCUUCAAGAAAUCAUUUUGUAAUUCCCGCUACUUGGGCUGCUGCUUUCAUCAGUUCUUACUUGACUUUAUAUGGUUUUUUAUGUGUUUUUGUUUUUACUGCACUGCUUCGUCUCCUUUAAUGUUAGUAUUAUUUGUAGAGGAACCACAUGAGGCACUUUUAGGUACUGACAGUUUGACUAGUAUCGUAGUGUCUUUGAAAAAAUUGACGAGGUGAUGCGUUGAAAUCAACUACAAUUUGGGAAGUGUUCUUGGAUAGUGAAAUUCUUAUGAUUUAUUUGAACGCAUUCAAAACUUAAAAGCAGAAAGGUAUUGUCCAAACUUUGAAGAGACCUCAAUGUUGAAAGAAAAAGAUAAACUGUCAAGAGGCCAUCAUCUGAAGAUAUAUGCCUUAUUAAAUUGCCAUUUGAGUAAUUCAAAAAUAUGUUGUUGAUCUAGUGUGGCAAACUUUUUGGUAAUUCAAAAAUACUUCACUUCCACGGGUUGGCAAACUUGUUGUUGACCUAUUAACUAUGUAAUUCUAUUCAGCAAAACGUUCAUUGGAAAAUAUAGAUUCUGAUUUCAGGGAUAAUGUUUUUGCUCUGCUUUCAUAUUACUCUGUUGGGACAUUUAAUGGCUUCAAAUCUUGGAUAGUUUGUCUUACCUCAUACCUAUCUGGUUACUGUUUUUUAUUUAAUUUUACUCUUUUGGUUUUAAAGCAUGCAGGGAACGGUUAAUAUUUGGUUCUUCACUCCUAAGUAUUGAUGCUUAACUCAUUCAUUGUUGUAUUGAGAUUAUGAUAUUCUAGCAUUAAGAUAUUGGUAGCUUGUCUUUGUGUACUGCUGUGUUAUUGUAACUAUUUUACUGGAUUUAUAUUUAUGUCACCACACUACAACUCAUAGUUCAUAUGUGUUUUCUUGUUGAAAUAGGCAUUGUUGUGGGCCUGGAUAAUUUGGAUGCAGUAAUACGUAUACUAAGAGAAUCUUCUAGCAAUGCAAUUGCAUCAUCUGGUCUAAGGAGCGUUGAUUGAACAAGAAGCAAAUGAGUUAAAAAGCAAGUUUUCCAGUCCAAGGCGUUCAAUGCUGGAGGAAAUGCUUUUCCAGAUGAUAGUGGCCACCUUGAUGACAUAGAUGUUAUUCCA